GACGAACGCUGGCGGCGUGCUUAACACAUGCAAGUCGAGCGGUAAGGCCCUUUCGGGGGUACACGAGCGGCGAACGGGUGAGUAACACGUGGGUGACCUGCCCUCAGCUCUGGGAUAAGCCUGGGAAACCGGGUCUAAUACCGGAUAUGACUCCAUGACGCAUGUUGUGGGGUGGAAAGCCUUGUGCGGCUGAGGAUGGGCCCGCGGCCUAUCAGCUUGUUGGCGGGGUGAUGGCCACCAAGGCGACGACGGGUAGCCGGCCUGAGAGGGCGACCGGCCACACUGGGACUGAGACACGGCCCAGACUCCUACGGGAGGCAGCAGUGGGGAAUCUUGCGCAAUGGGCGAAAGCCUGACGCAGCGACGCCGCGUGAGGGAUGACGGCCU
rnacentral:rRNA from 1 species